UACGUAGGGGACGAGCGUUGUCCGGAAUUAUUGGGCGUAAAGAGCGUGUAGGCGGCUCUGCAAGUCCUGCGUGAAAUCUCGAGGCUCAACCUCGAGCGGUCGUGGGAAACUGGAGGGCUAGAGUGCGGGAGAGGGAAGUGGAAUUCCAGGUGUAGCGGUGAAAUGCGCAGAUAUCAGGAGGAACACCGAUGGCGAAGGCAGGUCUCUGGGCCACUACUGACGCUGAGAAGCGAAAGCAUGGGGAGCGAACAGG
rnacentral:rRNA from 1 species